rnacentral:rRNA from 1 species
ACGCCAGUCUGCAUGGAGCCGACCUUGAAAUACCACCCUUUAAUGUUUGAUGUUCUAACGUUGGCCCGUUAUCCGGGUUGCGGACAGUGUCUGGUGGGUAGUUUGACUGGGGCGGUCUCCUCCUAAAGAGUAACGGAGGAGCACGAAGGUUGGCUAAUCCUGGUCGGACAUCAGGAGGUUAGUGCAAUGGCAUAAGCCAGCUUGACUGCGAGCGUGACGGCGCGAGCAGGUGCGAAAGCAGGUCAUAGUGAUCCGGUGGUUCUGAAUGGAAGGGCCAUCGCUCAACGGAUAAAAGGUACUCCGGGGAUAACAGGCUGAUACCGCCCAAGAGUUCAUAUCGACGGCGGUGUUUGGCACCUCGAUGUCGGCUCAUCACAUCCUGGGGCUGAAGUAGGUCCCAAGGGUAUGGCUGUUCGCCAUUUAAAGUGGUACGCGAGCUGGGUUUAGAACGUCGUGAGACAGUUCGGUCCCUAUCUGCCGUGGGCGCUGGAGAACUGAGGGGGGCUGCUCCUAGUACGAGAGGACCGGAGUGGACGCAUCACUGGUGUUCGGGUUGUCAUGCCAAUGGCACUGCCCGGUAGCUAAAUGCGGAAGAGAUAAGUGCUGAAAGCAUCUAAGCACGAAACUUGCCCCGAGAUGAGUUCUCCCUGACUCCUUGAGAGUCCUGAAGGAACGUUGAAGACGACGACGUUGAUAGGCCGGGUGUGUAAGCGCAGCGAUGCGUUGAGCUAACCGGUACUAAUGAACCGUGAGG